rnacentral:rRNA from 1 species
UACGGGGGGAGCAAGCGUUGUUCGGAACUACGGGGCGUAAAGGGCGCGUAGGCGGUUUGCUAAGUCGGAUGUGAAAACUCUGGGCUCAACCCAGAGCCUGCAUCCGAAACUGGCAGGCUAGAGUUCUGGAGGGGGUAGCGGAAUUCCUGGUGUAGCGGUGAAAUGCGUAGAUAUCAGGAGGAACACCGGUGGCGAAGGCGGCUACCUGGACAGAAACUGACGCUGAGGCGCGAAAGCUAGGGGAGCAAACAGG